UAGCGUAUAUUAAAGUUGUUGCAGUUAAAAAGCUCGUAGUCGGAUUUCGGGGCGGGGCGACCGGUCUGCCGAUGGGUAUGCACUGGUCGGCGCGUCCUUCUUUCCGGAGACCGUGCCUACUCUUAACUGAGCGGGGGCGGGAGACGGAUCGUUUACUUUGAAAAAAUCAGAGUGUUUCAAGCAGGCAGCUCGCUCUUGCAUGGAUUAGCAUGGGAUAAUGAAAUAGGACUUUGGUGCUAUUUUGUUGGUUUCGAACACCGAAGUAAUGAUGAGAAGGGACAGUCAGGGGCACUCGUAUUCCGCCGAGAGAGGUGAAAUUCUCAGACCAGCGGAAGACGAACCACUGCGAAAGCAUUUG
rnacentral:rRNA from 1 species